UAAGACGAACCGCCCAAACGUUAUUCGGAAUCACUGGGUUUAAAGGGUGCGUAGGCGGCUUGGCAAGUUGGGUGUGAAAUCCCUCGGCUCAACCGAGGAACUGCGCUCAAAACUGCCAGGCUUGAGGGAGAUAGAGGUGAGCGGAACUUAGGGUGGAGCGGUGAAAUGCGUUGAUAUCCUAAAGAACACCUGUGGCGAAAGCGGCUCACUGGAUCUCUUCUGACGCUCAGGCACGAAAGCUAGGGUAGCGAACGGGAUUAGAUACCCCGGUAGUCCUAGCUGUAAACGAUGAGCACUGGGUUGGAGGUCCCUCCAUAGGCUUCCGGCCGAAGCGAAAGUGUUAAGUGCUCCACCUGGGGAGUAUGGUCGCAAGGCUG
rnacentral:rRNA from 1 species